rnacentral:lncRNA from 1 species
UGGUCUAAUAUGCACGAGCGUAUCAUAUUUUAUAGAAGGAAGGGGAUGAAGAGCCCUACGGUUAAGAAUGCCCAAAUGGUUUAACCUGUUCACAACAGUAGUUGUAUUCUUGAUAGACAUAGUAUUCCUACCCAUUAGCACGUUUUUACAGAGGAAUUAGUUCACAUGUGUGUGUUACUGGUUCACUUGCUAGUUGCCACGGCUCCAAAAUAUUUUCGGGUUAUUGUCAUUGAAUCCACUAAGACAUGGCUGGAGCACGUUAAUCCCAAUCAAAGAGGUCAUUGGUCUCGCUUUAUUGCGAGAGGAAUUGGUGAGGAUUUUGGUGGCACUUUGCUUUGGCAUUGUGAUGUACCCGAUUAGUGAUUACGUAAACUCUAUGGUGGCUAGUGAUUAAGUGCUUUGGAGCAUCAUUUUGUGAAUGUCAGUUUGUUGCUAUCUGGAUGCGAAUCCUGUGUGGAGUUCCGAGUGUCCAAGCCUUGCUUGUUUGGUAUUCUCUUCUAAUAAAUCCAGAUGCAAU